rnacentral:rRNA from 1 species
GCGAAAUUCCUUGUCGGGUAAGUUCCGACCUGCACGAAUGGCAUAAUGAUGGCCAGGCUGUCUCCACCCGAGACUCAGUGAAAUUGAAAUCGCCGUGAAGAUGCGGUGUACCCGCGGCUAGACGGAAAGACCCCGUGAACCUUUACUAUAGCUUGACACUGAACAUUGAAUUUUGAUGUGUAGGAUAGGUGGGAGACUUAGAAGUAGUCACGCCAGUGAUUAUGGAGUCGUCCUUGAAAUACCACCCUUUAACGUUUGAUGUUCUAACGAAGAUUACGAAACGUGGUCUCGGACAGUGUCUGGUGGGUAGUUUGACUGGGGCGGUCUCCUCCCAAAGAGUAACGGAGGAGCACGAAGGUUUGCUAAUGACGGUCGGACAUCGUCAGGUUAGUGCAAUGGUAUAAGCAAGCUUAACUGCGAGACAGACAAGUCGAGCAGGUACGAAAGUAGGUCAUAGUGAUCCGGUGGUUCUGAAUGGAAGGGCCAUCGCUCAACGGAUAAAAGGUACUCCGGGGAUAACAGGCUGAUACCGCCCAAGAGUUCAUAUCGACGGCGGUGUUUGGCACCUCGAUGUCGGCUCAUCACAUCCUGGGGCUGAAGUAGGUCCCAAGGGUAUGGCUGUUCGCCAUUUAAAGUGGUACGCGAGCUGGGUUUAGAACGUCGUGAGACAGUUCGGUCCCUAUCUGCCGUGGGCGUUGGAGAAUUGAUUGGGGCUGCUCCUAGUACGAGAGGACCGGAGUGGACGCACCACUGGUGUUCCGGUUGUGUCGCCAGACGCAUUGCCGGGUAGCUAAGUGCGGAAGAGAUAAGUGCUGAAAGCAUCUAAGCACGAAACUUGCCAAGAGAUGAGUUCUCCCUGUCUUUAAGACAGUAAGGGUUGUUUAAGACUAAGACGUAGAUAGGUCUGGUGUGUAAGCGGUGCGAGCCGUUGAGCUAACAGAUACUAAUUGCCCGAGAGGCUUAACUAU